rnacentral:rRNA from 1 species
AGAAGCUACUAAGAGCUUACGGUGGAUGCCUAGGCGCUAAGUGCCGAUGAAGGACGUGGGACACUGCGAUAAGCCUCGGGAAGCUGUGAACAAGUGUUGAUCCGGGGAUGUCCGAAUUGGGAAACCAGCCGUUGUGAACCAGCGGCAUCAUAUGCUGAAUAUAUAGGCAUAUGAAGGGAACCUGGGGAACUGAAACAUCUAAGUACCCAGAGGAAAAGAGAUUAUUCCCUGAGUAGUGGCGAGCGAAAAGGGAACAGCCCAAACCGAUGUAGUUUACUAUGUCGGGGUUGUAGGGUCCAGCAAAUGAGAGUCACAAAUUGAGAGGUUAGUGAAAUGGUAUGGAAUAGCCAGCCAUAGAAGGUGAGAGCCCUGUACGCGAAAACCGCUCAACUCUCGCAGGAUACCUGAGUACUGCCGGGCACGCUAAUCCGGCAGGAAGCUGGGGAGUCCACUCUCCAAGGCUAAAUACACUUUGCGACCGAUAGUGAACAAGUACCGUGAGGGAAAGGUGAAAAGUACCCCUGUUAGGGGAGUGAAAAGAACCUGAAACCGUAAGCUUACAAGCAGUCGAAGGGCUAUGAUAGGUUGGUGCUAUGGUGAAAGCCUGUGCGCACUAUAAUGCCUGACGGCGUGCCUUUUGGAGAAUGAGCCUGCGAGUUAAUUUCUGUGGCAAGGUUAAGGGAGUGACACCCGGAGCCGGAGCGAAAGCGAGUCUGAAUAGGGCGGCAGUCGCAGGGAUUAGACACGAAACCAGGUGAGCUACCCAUGGCCAGGUUGAAGCGGGCCUAAACGCCCGUGGAGGACCGAACCCACUAAUGUUGCAAAAUUAGGGGAUGAGCUGUGGGUAGGGGUGAUAUGCCAAACGAACCUGGAGAUAGCUUGUUCUCCCCGAAAUAGCUUUAGGGCUAGCGUCAUGUGUUAAAUAACGGAGGUAGAGCACUGAAUGGGCUAGGGGGCUCACUGCUUACCAAACCCAAUCAAACUCCGAAUGCCGUUAUUCGAGAGCAUGGCAGUCGGACUCCGGGAGAUGAGUUUCGGGGUCGAAAGGGAAACAGCCCAGACCAUCGGCUAAGGUCCCCAAAUUCAAGCUAAGUGGGAAACGAUGUGAGGUUACUGAAACAACCAGGAGGUUUGCUUAGAAGCAGCAACCCUUUAAAGAGUGCGUAAUAGCUCACUGGUCGAGUGAUCUUGCGCGGAAAAUGUAACGGGGCUAAGCUUGAUACCGAAGCCAUGGGUUCUAGAUUUUCUAGAGCGGUAGGGGAGCGUUCUGUUUGCUUUGAAGGUUGACCGUGAGGACAGCUGGAGCGGACAGAAGUGAGAAUGCAGGCAUGAGUAGCGUAAAACACGUGAGAACCGUGUUCACCGUAUGUCUAAGGUUUCCGACGCCAGGUCGUUCCGCGUCGGGUUAGUCGGGGCCUUAGCCGAGGCCGAGAGGCGUAGGCGAUGGAUAACCGGUCAACAUUCCGGUACCACUUAAAAUGAGCGAUGGAGGGACGCAUUGAGGUAGGCCAGCCUGAGAUUGGUAGUUCAGGUGAACCAUGUGUCAGACGUUGAGGCCCAUAGGAAAAUCCGUGGGCUGAGUUGAGACAUGGUUGCGAGUCUAUAAGACGUAAGUGAGUUGAGCCUUAGUGCCUAGAAAAGCUUCUAAGUGAUGAUUUUUAAGUGCCCGUACCGCAAUCCGACACAGGUAGACAGGUAGAGUAUACUAAGGUGAGCGGGAGAACCUUCGUUAAGGAACUCGGCAAUUUAGCCUCGUAACUUCGGGAUAAGAGGUGCCCUUUUAGGUGAAAAAUUUAUUUUGAGCCCGAGAGGGUCGCAGUGAAAUGGCUCAAGGGACUGGUUACCAAAACCACAGGUCUCUGCAAAACCGUAAGGUGAUGUAUAGGGGCUGACACCUGCCCAGUGCCGGAAGGUUAAAGGGAGAGGUUAGCGCAAGCGAAGCUUUGAACUGAAGCCCCGGUGAACGGCGGCCGUAACUAUAACGGUCCUAAGGUAGCGAAAUUCCUUGUCGGGUAAGUUCCGACCCGCACGAAUGGUGUAACAACUUGAGCAGUGUCUCAACGAAGGACCCGGCGAAAUUGAAAUGGCUGUGAAGAUGCGGCCUACCCGCAGUAGGACAAGAAGACCCCGUGGAGCUUUACUGCAGCUUGACAUUGAGUCUGGAUAUUAUUUGUGGAGAAUAGGUGGGAGGCUAUGAAGCCAGGGCGCUAGCCUUGGUGGAGCCAUCAGUGAAAUACCACCCUGGUAAUGUUUAGACCCUAACCCACGGCCGUGAUCCGGCGUGGGAACAGUGUCUGGUG